CUAACGGCGAGUGAAGCGGCAAAAGCUCAAAUUUGAAAUCUGGUACCUUCGGUGCCCGAGUUGUAAUUUGGAGAGGGCAACUUUGGGGCCGUUCCUUGUCUAUGUUCCUUGGAACAGGACGUCAUAGAGGGUGAGAAUCCCGUGUGGCGAGGAGUGCGGUUCUUUGUAAAGUGCCUUCGAAGAGUCGAGUUGUUUGGGAAUGCAGCUCUAAGUGGGUGGUAAAUUCCAUCUAAAGCUAAAUAUUGGCGAGAGACCGAUAGCGAACAAGUACAGUGAUGGAAAGAUGAAAAGAACUUUGAAAAGAGAGUGAAAAAGUACGUGAAAUUGUUGAAAGGGAAGGGCAUUUGAUCAGACAUGGUGUUUUGUGCCCUCUGCUCCUUGUGGGUAGGGGAAUCUCGCAUUUCACUGGGCCAGCAUCAGUUUUGGUGGCAGGAUAAAUCCAUAGGAAUGUAGCUUGCCUCGGUAAGUAUUAUAGCCUGUGGGAAUACUGCCAGCUGGGACUGAGGACUGCGACGUAAGUCAAGGAUGCUGGCAUAAUGGUUAUAUGCCGCCCGUCUUGAAAC
rnacentral:rRNA from 1 species